rnacentral:rRNA from 1 species
UACGUAGGGGCCUAGCGUUGUCCGGAUUUAUUGGGCGUAAAGAGCUCGUAGGCGGUUCGGUAAGUCAGGUGUGAAAUCUCCACGCUCAACGUGGAGGGGCCACCUGAUACUGCCGUGACUCGAGUCCGGUAGGGGAGUGUGGAAUUCCCGGUGUAGCGGUGAAAUGCGCAGAUAUCGGGAGGAACACCAAUGGCGAAGGCAGCUCGCUGGGACGGUACUGACGCUGAGGCGCGAAAGCGUGGGGAGCAAACAGG